rnacentral:rRNA from 1 species
AUGCCGAGAAGGUGGCAGGUCUGGGGCCGGCCCGACGGCAGCCAAGUCUGGAUCCCCGCCCCCGACCCCGACGCGCCGCCACCGCCGCCCGCCGCGGCCCCGCCUCCUCCGCCGGGGCGCGCGGCGGGGACAGCCGCCGCUUCACUCGAGGACGCGCCGGUCAAAGGCCGGGGCGCUGCUGACGGAUGCCGCGUCGAGUCCAUGGCCGACCUCCUCGUCCAAGCUCGGAACAAGCUACUCGAAGGUGAUGGGAUGGCCGGAGCAACCGUCGAUGCUGGAAAAGGUGAGCUGUUCUGCACUGCAUCGGGAAGACCGGUGUCUGUCAGUGAGAGAGCUAUAAGGAGGGCCAGGGCGUUGGUCGGGGAGGAGGUGGAGAAGGCUGGCAUUAAGAGAAAGCAAUCAUUUGGCGAUGUAUCUGAUGUAGAGGGCGAAUUGAGAGAAAUGGACGCCCCAUUUAGAGGAAAUUUAGGUGGAGUGCAUAACACCGCCAUGCCCCCAUUGUUCCAAACUGGAUCAGGAAAAGCGGUCUUGCCGGGCAGGAACUCAAUCCAGAAGGCAAGAGCUAUUUUAGAAGAUGUUGAUAGUGCUGCUGGUGCCGUACAACCAAUGUUCCGUACUGGAAUGGGUAGGCCGGUUCCUGUGAACCGGACCUUUAUUGAUAAGGCAAGAGCUGUUUUGGAGGGACAAACAGCUGCAGAACAAGGCCAUUCUGAUGAGAGUGUGGACGGCAUGGAACAGUUUCCAUUGUUCCAAACUGGCUCAGGAAGAGUUGUAUCAGUCAGUUCUGCAUCUGUUCAGAAAGCUAAGUCUGUGUUGAAGGAUAAUAAUACAAGCGAGGGCAGACCAGUCACGAUCAGUGAAAGAUCCAUUGAGAGAUCUAGAGCUGCGGCGAAUGAGGGAGAUGCAGAAAAGAGCGGACAUUGGGAUACUGGUUGCCAGUUCCCAAUGUUCCAAACAGGAUUAGGGAAGCCUGUUGCUGCGAGCUGGAGCUCGGUUCAGAAGGCAAGCGCAGUAUUGGGGGAAGAAAAAACUAAAACAACUGAUUCAGGACACGGAGAUAGCAGUGUUUGUGCCACAACUCUUCAAAGUGAAACACCAAGGUCUGUUUUGAUGAGUAGCAGUUUGAUCAUGACUGAUAGAAGUGUUACACCGAAUGGAGAUAGCGCAAUGCAAGUCACUCGAAUAGAGAAAAGCCAAGAGGGUGGCAACCACUUGCCCUUGUUUCAAACUGGGUUAGGGAGGCCAAUUGCUAUAAGUAAGAGCUCAGUUAAGAGGGCAACUGCAGUUCUGGAGCCAAGGAAUAUUGCAAAGGAAUUGGAAGAUGAAGCUCAUUUAGAUGGUGGCCAUGACACUCCCAUGUUCAAAACUGGAUUAGGAAGGUCUAUCUUAGCAAGUGAUGAAUUGUGUAUCUUAGAGGCUGAAGAAGCAGUCAAAAGUGUAAACAAUUACGACGGAGAAGCCUUUGUUGAAGAGGCAGCGUUCCAAGCUGGAAUACAAAAGUUUGUACCCCAAAAUAGAAGUUCAAGUCAUAAGGCCAGUAUGCUUUUGGAGCAACGAAACUUCACGGAGAAAGGAUACGAAGACUGUGGAGGUCAACUACCCAUGUUUCGAACCGGAUCUGGAAAGUCAGUCUUGAUUAGUGAAAGCUCAAUGCAGAAAGCAAAGGCUGUUCUGGAGGAAGAAGUCAAAAUAAACAGAGAUAAUCAUAAUCUCCUUAACUUGGACAAAAAUAUUCCUGUCUUUGCUUCACCUCUCAAGACAAGCUGUGCAAGAACAGUUAUUAUAUCUUCAGCUGGUGUAUCUCGAGCUGCUACUUUGUUGGGCUUGGAGGAGAAUACCCUUUCAACACAAUUUUUUGGACAUGUGGGCGAUAAGCUUGGCACAAAAAUAAAUUUUGAACGGAAAAAUCCAGAACAGAGGCUUGGCCUUGCAUCUGGUCCAACAGAAAACCAAGUGCAUAAGGAACCACACCGGCCAUUUGAACUUUCUAAUAACACAGUUUCUGAUUCUGGUGAGCAUUCUAUCAGAUUCAGUACCGCGGGAGGCAGAUCAAUGGCUAUUCCUAGUGAUGCACUUCAACGCGCGAGAAGCCUUCUGGGUGAAUCUGAUAUUGUGGUUUCAACAAAUAAUAUAGUAGGCCGCCCUUUGGCAUCUGCAUGUAAUGUUGAGAUGCCAAAUUUAACUGUCGCCCCAAAAGGUGGACCUGAUUUAUCAAAAAUAAGUAGGGUCAAUGGAAAAACCGAACUUGCAACAUAUUCCCACCAGACAAUGUCUGAUAGGAAGCACACUGGAUCCUUUGAAAAUGCUGUACCUGCUAUCCCGGCGACUAACAAACAACCCAAUAUGUUUCAUGUUGGGAGUUGCUCAAUCAGUGAAAUUCCAAAGAUCCCGAAGCCCUCUUCCAUGCGUUUAUCUGAAACUGACAAUGCAAGUGACACUAAAGAUAAGACCCAGCGACUCCAUAUGCCAGCUGGACCGUUGGUUGACAUUAGUAACUUCAUGGGUACACAUUCUGGAAAUAUUGACCAUGCUGUUAAUGACAAGAGAAGAAUUGAGGGAAGAAACUCUGCAUCUUCCUUUAAACGCCCCCGCUCUUCCAGAUAG